UUCUGGCCUAUUUUCUAUGCUACGUUUCACCUGCUGCUUCUUUGUCUCAUCUCCACACUGCAUAUUCUUUCUUAUUGAACGAAGAAUUGAUAAAAUCAUAUAAUUGCUCAAUAUCUUGCAUGACUGCAUAACCAACAACAGAAGAAGCAUGGAAAUCUUAUUCAUAGUCCCUUGAUGACAUUGCUUCUAAGGAAUAAUUAGAAAUAGGAAUUCACGUCUUACUGCGAACAAAAAUGUGAAUAUUGUUGUCGUUUUGGAGAUACUCCGGAAUAAUUACUCAAAGGGCAAAUUAUUAGUUUGAUUUGGACUGGUUGACUGGUUCCACUUAUGCUAUUAUGACAAAGGUAAUUUUCCUAUAAUUUCAUCCUUAAAUUAUAUGUCGUUGUUUGAUGGCCUUUCCCAGCUUUCUAAAAGGCUAAAAUUCAAAUUAAAUUACUGGAUGCAAUUUUAAAUGUCUGAGAUUUCAUCCUAGACUUUUUUCUUUUGAAAUGUUUGUAACUGGACACUUUUUGAAGUUAUUGUCUGUAAAGUUAAAGGCAUUACAAUGAA